rfam:Triticum aestivum genome assembly, contig: Triticum_aestivum_CS42_TGACv1_scaffold_130364_2BL
UAAGUACUCCCUCCUUCGGAAUUACUUGUCGCAGAAAUGGAUGUAUCUAGAGAUACAUCCAUUUCUGCGACAAGUAAUUCCGAACGGAGGGAGUAGAGU